GAUGAACGCUGGCGGCGUGCUUAACACAUGCAAGUCGAACGGGAAUUACUUUAUUGAAACUUCGGUCGAUUUAAUUUAAUUCUAGUGGCGGACGGGUGAGUAACGCGUGGGUAACCUACCUUGUACAGGGGGAUAACAGUCAGAAAUGACUGCUAAUACCGCAUAAGCGCACAGAGCUGCAUGGCUCAGUGUGAAAAACUCCGGUGGUAUAAGAUGGACCCGCGUUGGAUUAGCUAGUUGGUGAGGUAACGGCCCACCAAGGCAACGAUCCAUAGCCGGCCUGAGAGGGUGAACGGCCACAUUGGGACUGAGACACGGCCCAGACUCCUACGGGAGGCAGCAGUGGGGAAUAUUGCACAAUGGGGGAAACCCUGAUGCAGCGACGCCGCGUGAAGGAAGAAGUAUCUCGGUAUGUAAACUUCUAUCAGCAGGGAAGAGAUUGACGGUACCUGACUAAGAAGCCCCGGCUAACUACGUGCCAGCCGCCGCAGUAA
rnacentral:rRNA from 1 species